UACGGGGGGGGCGAGCGUUGUUCGGAAUCACUGGGCGUAAAGGGCGCGUAGGCGGCCCGCACAAGUCUGCGGUGAAAACCCCCGGCUUAACCGGGGGCCGGCCGUGGAAACUGUCGGGCUAGAGGCCGGGAGAGGGCAGCGGAAUUCCCGGUGUAGCGGUGAAAUGCGUAGAUAUCGGGAGGAACAUCAGUGGCGAAGGCGGCCAUCUGGACCAACACUGACACUGAGGCACAAAAGCGUGGGGAGCAAACAGG
rnacentral:rRNA from 1 species